AGUCGGGGUCCGAGGCUAGGUAGCGGCGCAGCAUGAACUCCUCGUACUUGUGCAUAAGCGGCGGGUCGGCGAGCAGCAAGCGGAUGUCGUGCGGGUUGAGUCGCUCGCUGCACUCGGGGCAGCUGAUGGGCACCCUGCUCUCGCUUAUCUCCAGGCGCAGGUAGUGGCGGAGGCAGUCCCGGCACGAGCGGUGCGGACAGCUGAGGAGGCGCGGGGCCCGCUCAGGCGGCAGCCGCACCAGGCACAGCGGACACUCCACCUCCUCCGCGCCCGGGCCACCGCCCUCCGCCGCCUCCUCAUCGUCGAACCCAGGCUCCGCCGCCGCCGCCGCGGCCUCCGCCUCGGCCUCGGCGGCCGGCUCGGCGGGCAGCGCCUCGGGCGGCGGGCCCUGGGCCGCGGCAGGGGCCGGGGCGGGCGGCGGCUGCGCAGCCGGGGGCGGCGGCUCGGCCUGCGGCUUGGCCCGGGCGCGGCGGCCGCGGGCCGAGGCAGAGAAGACGCUGUGCAAGGUGAGGCGCCGGCGCCGGCCGCCGCUGCGGCACUUAGGGUCGGGUGCGGCCGCAUGUAGCGAUGUGGAGCGCGGCGACUCGGAGUCCUUCUCGGAGCCCAUGGCCGGCAGAGGCCGAGGAGCCAGGGGCGCCCAGCGCCGCCACAGCUCCCGCCUCAGCGCCCCUCAGCCAGCGCCCGGCCGCCGCCGACGCCGCCACCACCGCCUCAACCGCCCUCCCGGCGAUAGAAGCCGAGCGGCAACGACGAAGUGAUUAUAAAGCCUCCGCCCCGCGCCCCGCUGCUCUCCCUGGUCUCCGCCUCCAAUUCCAUCACCAUGACACCCAAGGUGGACUUUUUGGUUUGCCGUUCCUCACAGGUUGAUUGCCACUUCCAGUAAAUGAUGGUUCAGUUACAUUAUUUAUAAAAAGCAGGCAGGGGUUGAUCAGAUGGUGACUCCCAACUGGUUCACCUUCCAACAUUUCUGUUUAUUAAGCAGACGGCAUAAAUUAAUAAAGAAUAUAUUCAUUCACUGAGCUUCUACAAAGUGCGAGGCAUUAGAAAAUAAAACAGACAAGGUCCCCUAUUGCAAGGGACUUCCAGAAUAAAGUCCAAAUUUCUUAGUCUAGCAUUCAGUGUUCUCUAUGUAUUUAAUAAACCCUAUGUAUAUAAUAGUCUAUUUCUAGGCUCACUUACCAUUCUAUCCUCCUGGUAUCUUGCUUACUUACCAAACUUGUGGAAGGAGACCCAGCGUUUUCUUGCCUGGCAGUGCC
rnacentral:lncRNA from 1 species